rnacentral:rRNA from 1 species
UACGUAGGGUGCAAACGUUGCUCGGAAUCAUUGGGCGUAAAGCGCGCGUAGGCGGCUGUGAAAGUUGGAUGUGAAAGCCCUGGGCUCAACCCAGGAAGUGCAUCCAAAACUUCAUAGCUUGAGUCUCGGAGGGGCCCAGAGAAUUCCCGGUGUAGAGGUGAAAUUCGUAGAUAUCGGGAGGAAUACCAGUGGCGAAGGCGCUGGGCUGGACGACGACUGACGCUGAGGUGCGAAAGCGUGGGGAGCAAAC